rnacentral:rRNA from 1 species
AGUGAACGCUGCGGCGUGCUUAACACAUGCAAGUCGAACGAGAACGGGUUAUAGCUUGCUAUAAUUGUCAGCUAAGUGGCGCACGGGUGAGUAAUGUAUAGGUAAUAUGCCUCUUACUAAGGGAUAACAAAUGGAAACGUUUGCUAAUACCUUAUACUCCUUAUUAACAGAAGUUAAUAAGGGAAAGAUUUAUUGGUAAGAGAUUAGCCUGUAUUGUAUCAGUUAGUUGGUGGGGUAAUGGCUUACCAAGACUAUGACACAUAACUGGUUUGAGAGGAUGAUCAGUCACACUGGAACUGAGACACGGUCCAGACUCCUACGGGAGGCAGCGGUGGGGAAUAUUGCACAAUGGACGAAAGUCUGAUGCAGCAACGCCGCGUGGAGGAUGACACAUUUCGGUGCGUAAACUCCUUUUAUAUGAGAAGAUAAUGACGGUAUUAUAUGAAUAAGCACCGGCUAACUCCGUGCCAGCCGCCGCGGUAA